rnacentral:rRNA from 1 species
CUCGCCAGGGGACUACAAGCGUAAGCUUAAAACCCAAAGGACUUGGCGGUGCUUUAGACCCCCCUAGAGGAGCCUGUUCUAGAACCGAUAAUCCCCGUUUAACCUCACCCUUUCUUGUUUAAUACUGCCUAUAUACCGCCGUCGUCAGCUUACCUUGCAAAAGAACAAUAGUAAACAAAAUCGGUUUUAUCCCAAAACGUCAGGUCGAGGUGUAGCGAAUGAAAGGGAAAGAAAUGGGCUACAUUUCCUGAUACAGGAAAUAACGGAAUAUUUACAAUGAAAAAGUAUAUGAAGGAGGAUUUAGCAGUAAAUGGAAAAUAGAGUGUUCC